UAUAAGGAUAGUUGAAUUGCGAAAAAUCAUAUUAUACUAUUGAAAAGAAUGAGUUAAUUAUGCAACUUGAUAAAUAAUUAUGCACGUGAUAAUGAGGAACUUGUAAAGUUGACCAUGUACUACGUAAAAUGGUGUGCAGGAGCCGCUUUCUUGACCACAGAUCAGUGUUAGAAAAUUUUUGUGUAUUUUUCCCAAAGUACGAAUUAGACGCUACAAAAGCUCGAGAAAUAUUUUCUUUUUAUGAAAGGGUGAUCAACUGUUCAGAACAAAACUUUCUUGCGGAGGUGAAAAUGUGGAAACAGCGAACUUCAGGCAAGCAUUUCCGGAAUGCUCUCGAAGCUUUAGAAGCAGUGAACAAAACGUCUUUUGGUAAUGUUUUCAAGACUUUACGCAUAUUGGCGUUAUUGGCUGUUUCAAUAGCAUUACCGGAAAGAACUUUUCAAGAAUUAAAACCUAUUUACGAAAUACGACAGGUCAUGAUAGGCUUAAUGGUCUAGCAUCAAUGAAUAUUCAUAGGGAUAUUGAUCUGUCAGUUUAUGAAAUACUAGAAGAAUUCUUUCAAAAUCCAAGGAAAAUGUAACAUGGAAUGUGAGAUGCCGUGUAAACCUCAGUUAAUCACUGAGCUUCAGCGAUACUGCUUGUACAAAUGUAGAGAAAGUUCGAAUUACAUGAAUAACAACAAAAAUCUUGUAACUUAUUAUAAUUGCUUAUAAUUUGAUGUGAUCUUUUUCAUCAAUAACCUCAUUCCAAACCCAUAUCAACAAACAUAAAUUUUUCUCUGAGUUUAGGAGGUGAUUUAACACCAAAAACCCCCCCGUGGAUCCGCCACUGCUUACCAUACUAAAAUAUUUUACAAACUAAAAUAAAAAAAAUAUAAAGAAAUAUUAUACCCUAAAUACAGGAAACAUAAUCGUUGAUAAACAAUAAAAAAUAUACUUAUAAAAAAUUAAGCGGUCUGAAGGCCGCCAAUGUAAAAAUGAGUUCUACGGGAGAAAAAAAAUGUAUACACCCGGUGUUGGAUCGACAAGGGUAAUUUUUUUGAAGCACUGCCGAAGCCCGCCUACGAAAAAAGAAGUUCAACGCGAAAAUAAUUUGUGUUUCCGCCCAGGGUUAUUUUUUUUUUUGAAACGCGGCCAAAGGCCGCCCACGCAAAAAGGAAUUCUAUGCGAAAAAAGUUUGAUACACCCCCGUAUUUGUCCGACCAGGGUUACUUUUUUUAAGCGCGGCCGAACGCCGCCUACGCAAAAAGGAAUUUUGCGCUAAAAAAAUUUGAUACACCCCGGUGUUGAACCGACCAGUGUUAGUUUUUUUUAAGCGCGGCCGAAUGCCUCCCACGCAAAAAGGAGUUCUACGCAAAAAAAAUUUGAUACACCCCGGUGUUGGACCGACCAGGGUUAUUUUUUCUGAAGCGCGGCCGAAUGCCUCCCACGCAAAAAGGAGUUCUACGCGAAAAAAAUUUGAUACACCCCGGUAUUGGCCGACCAGGGUUAUUUUUUUUUUGAAGCGCGGCCGAAGGCCUCCCACACAAAAAGGAGUUCUACGCGAAAAAAAUUUGAUACUCCCCGGUGUUGGACUGUUAUUUUUUUAUAGGUUGUUGAUUCUCGUAUUUGGGGUUUACUCUGUUCACUCUAUUUCAUUUAGUUAUUUUACAUAUGACGCCGAUAAGGUAACAGAGAUUAUUUGACAGUUUGUAAUUCAUUUGUUAAUCUUAAAUAAUCAUAAUUCAAUAAUAAUUCAAAUGCAUAUUAAAAGCUAUUUUUGCACUAUAUUAUAUAAAAUAAAUGUGUACAAAUGAAUGAUGUGUUAAUGUAUAUAAAAUUGAAAAAUAUAAGAGCUAAAUAAAUUUUAUAUAUAGAAAAUAUGUAAUUAAAAUAUUACAAAUUUUCAACUUUAAACGCGAAUAUCUCAAAAACUAUAAGCUUCCUGCUAUAACCAUAUAUAUUCGUGAUCUGGAGAAUCUUCUCUAUCCGACCAUACCCAUUUUAUUCCCGAAAUCCUGGGACGGUAUACUAAGUUCUUCCCAUUCUUUGUAUCAAAAAUAGGUUGAAUAUGCUCAAUACUUUCCUGAGACCCCAUAAACCUAAUAUAAAGAUUUCGAACUUCAGGGUGGCUUUAAACAGCUUAUAUCGGCGAAUAUUUCAGCUAUCUCAAUAAAAAUAACACAGCGUGUUUUACUCAUAACAACGUAUCUCUGUGCCUAAAAUAGAUAAAUUUGAGUGAAAACUUGACGUAGCUCCUAUAUAACUAAUAUCAGGAACAUCCGGCUGAUUUUACGCUAUAUGAUUGGUUUUCAAGAAUGUGCUGUUUGUAUAAUCGGUUUGGAUAUUUAGGAUAUUACUAUUUUAGGUAAAUGUCCGAAAUUAUUGCUAUUGUUAACUGCAAAUGUUUGUAAAUUAUUGUUUUGAGACCCUAAGCCAAGGUAUCGAGGUACCCGUGCCGAGGGCUGAAUGGUCAGCGGUGGGUAACAAAUAGCUGAUCGCGAACGGUUCCCUUCAAUGCCCGGGCGAGGUCGGAGGUAUAAAAGCCUUCUCUCCGCAUACCGGCUCUGCGGACGAGUGAACAACCCUUUGCGGACAACUCGUGGGACCAAAAAUUAACGAAUACAACAAAACAACAACAACAACCAAUUUGUCGACUAAGGACAUGAAUUACAGGAUUCCCAUUACGGAAUCCGAGGAACACGAAUUACUCGCCUCCAGCCAGGAGACGAGUAAGAGUACUGCCGGACAUACCAACCUAAGUAUACCGGCAGAUACAGCAGUGAUAACAGCGAACGUAAGGGAGGAAGCGUCCACCUCCAAAGCUGCCGUGAGCACCAACCAAAAUGCACUGGCGGCUAAAGGAGAAAUCAAAAAGAAGCGCAAAAAAUCCCAGAAUCAGCUGAGGAAAAACUGGUACCAGAGGGCAGUCUUCAAUCUAGGGAAGAUAGCCAAAGACCAGUCAGCCGGUACCCCAGUUGAUGAGGCAGAAACAAAGCGCCUCAAAGCAAUUGUGGAGGAAUAUGAAAGCUACCUGAAAAGGAAGCAAUCAGAACCUCUAGUAGAGAACAAACAGGAGAGCAAUUCACAAAGAAGGAAUCGCUCUACCAUAGAAACACCAGAAACUCUGCCUAAAAAACCGAGGCGGAGUGAAGGCGAACACAGCAGCGCAACAGCGGCAAGGCAUUUCUGUGAUGUAGCCAGGGAUAGCCUGCAAGUGGCCAUCAGAGGUGGGAAUUCCUCCUCACCGAGCACGGUACAGGAAAGAUGGGUGCAGAUCGACGUCAGAUUGUCAAGUAUGGUGCUAAGCUACGUACUCGACAAUCCAGCGGGUCCUCACCCGGAGUUUGACUCCUCUGAGACCCUCAGGGGCUACAGGGUCAUCAAAUGCGCGGACCAGGCCUCGCUAGAUUUCCUGACGGGUAGUGUUGCUAAGAUCAGCAACGCCUUUGUAGGCCUCCAAUUGAGGCUUAUAUCCGCCAGGGACAUUCCAGACCUCGUGCUCGCAUUUGGUUACCCCCACUAGAGGAGCCAGGAGAAAAUUCCUGAGGUGUAUUAAGCUGCAAAACAAAUCUAUACUGGUAUAGAUGAAUGGCAGCUGAUAAAGGAGGAAAAUCCAAAUAAAGCGCACAGAGCAAUACUUGUGGCCAUUUGCGAUGAGUGCAUUGAGGCUCUCAAGAAGACUGACUACAAAAACAGCUUCGGAAUUCGCAAGGUCAGGUUAAAAAUCUUUCAAGGCGACAAAGCGGCUGACGAAGACGACACGGAAGAGGUCGACGAAACUAGCCAGUUGUUAAGGAAUGUGGGCAUCGAAGAAACCUGAGAUGCCCAAUAACAACCUUAGAUGGGUACAGAUAAACCUGCAGCACUCGAAGCGAAUAUGACAACCCUUAUGAACGAGGGGGGCAUCGACAUCAGCCUAGUACAGGAGCCCUGGGUCAAAGAAGACACCAUUAAAGGGCUAAACAGCAGCAACCAUAACCUGUUUUACACACGGAACAAAGCACAGCAGAAAUCAUAGUGGUAAAGGUGGAACAGAAGGAAAAGCCCUUUACUUCGUCUUGGCCUACUUGGCCGAUGACGAAGACAUACCACCGACCCCGCUCACCAGACUAGUAGAGGAGAACAGGAAAGAAGAUGUUCUAAUAGGGUGUGAUGCAAACGCAAGGCACACAGUAUGGGGUAGCUCCAGCAUAAACACCAGAGGUUUUUGUCUAACGGAGGACGGGCAUGCAGUCACCGUUCCCAUGGCGCCAGGUCAAAGUAACAGGGACGGACCAGUCGUAACAAGGACUGUCGGCUCGGCACCAAUCCUCGAAAUUGCUUUAGGAAUGUUUUCUGCCGUUACAACAAUAACAGUCAUCCGGAAUUAAAGUCUUCCUUUCACCUAGUGCAUUUGUAUAUGUCUCAAUGAGUUAUAGAUGAUACUAACAACCGUGAGAGAAAACAACUUGUCCAAAAUGUUGCCAAAGUAUAAAAAAAAGAGUAUUUGUUUUAAAAACGUAUGCCACAUGUUGCCAGAGUAUAUAAAAAUUCUCGAAUACAGGGCUAUUAACCGACAGAUGACGCAAAAAACAAAUCAAAAACACCAACCAAGCUCUGCGUAAUUAGGCACAGAAUAGUAAUGAAUAGAAGAGGCGCAAAUGUUAAACCAAAAUUUUUUGAGUACUAAUUUGUAGUUUUCAUAAGACAAAAUUAAGACGGAACAUAAAUAAAUAUUUCUUCGAAAAGAAAACACCGCACGCAAUGAACAAAAUGGGGAAAAGGCUAUAGACAAACACAGCGAAUGUUAUUAAAUAAAUUAUGGAUGCGCAUGACUAUUUAGAUUUGCGUUUUCAAUUUGUAUGGUAUGACAGAGAAAUCAUAAUUUAUAUUUAAAAUUGAUCUCUUGAAUUAAAAAGGAUGAUUAUUGUUAAAACCAGCGGAAUUAAAUAAGCCAAUUUAGUGUUACUUACAGAGAUAAUUAAUAUAUUUCAGAAGAAUAUACUAUAUAUUUAUUAAAUGUUCCCUUAUCUAUGCAUAUUUACACAAAUCUGACAAUCAAACAAUAUCUUUCGUUUUUUACUUUUUGUUUUCUGUGAGAACGGCUAGAAAGAAGAAAGUUGAACGAUCGCAGGCAAGUAAGGGUCAGGGUGUGCACUGCCACAUAAUUAUUUUAGAUAUUUUUUAUAACAUUGAAAUAAAUGUGAAUUUAUAUGUAUGUAUUUAUGUUUUUACGUAAAUUUUAUUACACAGUUAAAUUUUAUGAAAAGUUAACCAAAAAGUCCUAAAGGUGUUUUACUUUUCUAAAGUAUUAACUUUUCCAUAGAGUUUUCGAUUUUGAAAAAAAAAAAACACGAAAAUAAGCAUAAUUUGGUGAUAUAAUACGUUCAAUUUAUUUGCAGAACUCCCUUUUAUUCGUAACAAAACAAAAACUUGAAUUUAUUUUGUACUUUUAAACAUAAUAUAUGUAUGUAUGUACAUAUGUACAUACAAAUGAAGAUAUUAAUUUGUAAGGGAUGGUUUAAAGAAGCGGUCGAGACUUGUUUGUUUCUUUUUUUUUUUGUGUAAUAGCUUCUGAUUUCCAUCAUUAUUGUUUUCAUACCCCUUUAUCAAGACAUUGAUGCAUUCAACUGUUUCCGAAAAACUCACUUUCUCUUGUUGCAUAUCUUCCUCGAUAACUGUUUCUUCAACUCCAUUGUCAGACACAUCGAAAUCUUCAUCAUCUUUCGUAUUUCGAUGGCGAUUCCAAUUUCGAUUUCUUCACUGCUAUCGUCAACGCCACCCACCUUGGACAAUAACGAUUGUACCUCUCGAAGUGUUUCCUUGCAAUCAAAUUAAGCAAUUAAAUUUCAUCUUCGCUGUCGUAUUGAUCAUCGUCUCACUGUUUUAUAUUUUCCAAGCUUUUAAAAGCACAGUUCUUGGCAAUUUAUUCCAAACUAAUUUAAUCAGCAAUAUGGCAUCACGAAUUGAAUGUAAUUUCAAAUUAUUCUCAACCGGAACGUUUUCUUGUGAUAUAAUGUUCAAUAACAGUUUAGCCCGGUAUCCUAACUUGAGGGAUUUAGGGGAAACUGACACCUUGUUUUUGAAAUAAAAUUUCUCGAAAUGUGUUUGAAUUAUCAUAAAAUAAGUUGUUACCUGCUUUAGAGCAAUUAUUCAGCUUUAUAAUAUUGCCGGAGUUUUUUUUUCAGCGACUCCCUUUUACACUUUAAUUUACAGUUUAAAAAAAAAAAAAACAUUUUGUCAAAUGUGCUCCUGUCACGGGGUAUAUCCACUUCCGAAUCUUUCACUGA